AAGUGCAAUAUGAGUUAUCAAAUCAUAAAAAUUGUGUUCUUUUUCAUAAAUAUUUUCACUUCGGUGGAAGUAAUGGAAGAAUUGUUCGACUUAAGGCGGCAAUUAUUGAGAAGAUUGCUCAUUGCGCAAAUGAUUCUUAAACUAGCUUGUGUAUGUGACUGCGCUUCAAUAAGGUCCUGCUGGACGAAGAUCCGUCGCCAGACAUUCUGGGAAGUCGAUUGCCAGCUGAAUUCGGAAGUAUUUUUUAAGAGUAACUUUCGAAUGAAUCGUAAAUCCUUCAGAAAAUUGUGUCAUAUGUUGAUUGGUAUGGAAAGAAGAAAUACCCACUAUCGGAAAGCAAUUGUGUUGGAGAAACGAGUUGCAAUUGCAUUGUACGCGCUUGGCUCUUCCGCAGAAUACCGCACAAUUGCAAAUAUGUUCGGAGUUGGUAAAAGUACUGUCGGCCGCAUAUUAAUUGAGUUCUGCCAUGAGGUUUGGAAAUGUUUGUGGCCUUUAUAUUUAAAAAAUUUUCCAAUGACCGAAGUUAAGUUAAGGGAAUUCAUAAAUGGCUUUCAAUCACUAGGUUUCCCUUAAGUCUUAGGAGCCAUUGAUGGAUGUCAUAUAGAAGUUCAUCCAGCAAGAGAGGAUGCAAUUGACUACCACAAUUACAAAGGUUGGUACUCAACCGUACUUUUGGCUUUAGUAGAUGCAAGGUACGUUUUUAUGUGAAGUACUUUUGUUCUGGUUAUAGGAAAAUUUAUUUUAUUCUGUAGAUGUCGUUUUAUAUAUAUUAAUGUCGGCAGCCAAGGCCGUUGCAAUGAUUCAGCAAUUUUUGAGAGCUCCCAUUUAAAAAACGAGUUUUUACAAUGCAGUUUGUACAAAGAUAUGAGCAAGCAAAUAUCUGGGGUCAACGUUCCAGUCGUGUUACUAGGUGACUCUGCUUUUAAGUUAGAUGAGCAUUUAAUGAAGCCGUUUCCAUUUAACAUUGACCAAUCAUUGCAACAAAAAAAAUUCAAUUUUGCCCUGUCAAAAUGUCGAAGAGUUGUAGAGAAUGCUUUUGGCCAUUUAAAGGCCAGGUUCAGACGGGUUGGAAAAGGUUUGGACAACCAGAUGGUAAACACCACAUCAAUAAUAAAGGCAUGCUGUAUUUUGCACAAUUUCCUUAAUGAGGAAAAUGAUGAAGUCAAUGAAAGAUGGAUUUCCGCACAGCAAACUGAAGAACAAAGUCGACAUCGGCCAGAAAGUACUCCCAACAAUUAUGGAAAUUUUAAUUCGAGAGCACAGGAAAUAAGACAAGCAUUCGUUUCAUAUUUUGAUUCACUGGUGGAGGGCCCGUUACAGGAUUCUACAAGGGAGCACUGAGAAUUGAGAACUAGAGUACCAGUUUGUGACUCUCCAUCAGUGUCACAUUCAAUAAGAUAUUAUUCAGUAAUGGUGUAGUCCAAAUCAUCUGAAAAUAUAUAAUUCGCACAAAAAACUAUUUAAGCCUAUUCCGGUCCGACGGAUGCUAUUCGCACGAAUCUAAUCCUUCACUCUCGCUUGUUACGACAGUGCAAAUCAGAUUAUUUCCAUGCGGAUGGCAUCCGUCGGAUACCGUAAUAGGUAUGACUAAAUAAAAGGUCUUAUUAAGUACACCUAUUAUGCUAUCCUCUUGCAGCGCAACUGCAUCAAAGCUCUUAUGUGCACCGAGAACUUCGUGGACUGCCCCAUAAUGCUUCCACUCUGAUGGAGAGCCACCGGAUGGACCAAUUUUCGCCUUUUCUUGUCUAUGGAGAUAAUAAAUUAAUAAAUAAAUAUCUAUGCUGAUAUAAAUUCAGUACUUACCUGUAUUUUUUUGAUAAAUUGUGAAGCUUUGUCUUCACUUCAGCGGCAGUGAUAUUAUGGCCACUAUUAUCCAGCUCGACUGCCAUUUCUUCAUAAAUGUGGCCAUUCUUCCUUACCGACCGCAGCUCUGGCAUUUUUUCUCGCCAUAACUCAAUCAGGAGUUCUUCUGCGGCAUCGCUCCACAAAAUACGUUUUUUUUUGCUUUCUGUCGCCAUUCUUUAUAAUUUGAAUAUGCAUUUGAAUGUGACAUUUUGAAAUUUUAAAUCAGCUGUAGUGAACGUAUUUUUUGAAUUUUAAC
rnacentral:lncRNA from 1 species